rnacentral:pre_miRNA from 1 species
GAGACACCCCUCUGGGGCAAGACUUGCUUCAGUGGGGCUUUGGUGCUCACCGAGUCUGCCCCCUGAGUGGUGCUCACCGAGUCUGCCCCCUGAGUGUGUCUUU